rnacentral:rRNA from 1 species
ACCUGCGGUCUGCGAGGGAAACGGUAUGGCUCGAGGGCGUAAGAGGUGCACGGAACUCAUGGUGGAGGGGUGAAAUCCGUUGAUAUCAUGGGGAACACCAAAGGCGAAGGCAGUGCACUAGUACGUUCCUGACGCUCAAGCACGAAAGCCAGGGUAGCGAAUGGGAUUAGAUACCCCAGUAGUCCUGGCCCUCAACGUUGCUCGCUCGCUUUACGGAGUAUCGACCCUCUGUGAGGCUAAGCUAACGCGGUAAGCGAGCCGCCUGGGUAGUACGAUCGCAAGAUUAAAACUCAAAGGAAUAGACGGGGACUCGCACAAGCAGUGGAUUAUGUGGCUUAAUUCGUCGAUAAACGAAGAACCUUACCAAGGUUAGAAACCCAGCUGCAUCUCUGAUGAAAGUCGGAGAGCCUUCGAGGG